CAUCACUUUGUCCGGACUCUAAUUCAAAUUGUAUUCAUCGGAUCUUCACCAAACUUGGUCAGCAGUUGCAUCUAGUUGAUAUCUAGGCCAAGUUCGAAUAUGGGUCAUGCCGGGUCAAAAACUAGGUCAUAGGGUCAAUUAGUGCAUUUUCAACGGCGCCACUUUGUCCGGACUCUAAUUCAAAUUGUAUUCAUCCGGUCUUCACCAAACUUGGUCAGAAGUUGUAUCUAGACAAUAUCUAGGUCAAGUUCGAAUAUGGGUCAUGCUGGGUCAAAAACUAGGUCACAGGGUCACUUAGUGCAUUUCAAGCAUUUAGCAUGGUGUCCACUCUCUAAUUGAAGUAGUUUUCAUCCAAUCUUCACCAAACUUGGUCAGAAGUUGUAUCUAGACAGUAUUUAGGUCAAGUUGGAAUAUGGGU